GUAAACCAGGGCUGUCAAACUCCAGGUUUCGUGGGCCUACAUGUUUUCGAACCAAUCUACUGUCGAUGCUCCAUAUUGGCUAAACACACCUGAUCCAGUGAAAAGAAGCAAAACAAACUCCAGAUGAGAACCAUUUGAUGGAAGAUAGAAAAAAGAAAAAAACAAGACGAGAAGAAAAAGACAGAAGCUGCUCAGAAAAAGGCCACAGAACAGAUAACCAAAGAACUGCCCCCACAAAGUGGCCAGAGAUCCCAGUAUGAUAAUCCCCUCUGGGGACACCUGCCAGCCAACAGCAGUACCACAAAUGCUGCAUCUUCCACGAGUCUAAGUGGCUGGGAUCAACAGAUCAUUAAGCAGAAGGACACUGAAUCUUGGCCUUCUGUUAACCUCAGCCAGAGCAAGGUCGCUUCGGGAGGAUGCCCUUUGGAAACUGACCCUGGUCACUUGACCAGCAGUAGCAGCAGCACUAGCA
rnacentral:lncRNA from 1 species